AUAUAUACUGUGCAGUAUAUGUAUGUUAUAAUAUAUAAAGAACAAACGAAUCCUUUUGAUAUCGAGUAGUCCUUUUUUUCGCUAGUGAUAUAGCUAAAUAGGAGGAUACGGUAUGCGAGGAAGUAAAAGGGAAAAUUUUCCUUCUCGAGAAAGGUAGAGUUUGAAAGAGACGAGAAGAAGAAUGGAAAAAAGAUACCAAAAGCAGUCAGUAAUAUAUAACCAAGUAAGGAAUCUGCAAAAAGGUACGGAAAAUUUAGAGGGAACGAUAGAGUAGGGAAGAGGAGAAAUCGUUCAAUAGGGGAAAAAGAAGAAAAAUGAAAAAAAAAGUGGUGAUAGGAUAGAACGCUGGAAUGCUAGAGGAAUUCGGUAAAAUACAAAUAAAUAAGUCACGCAGCGAAAAAGAGAAAAAAAAAGUACAACCGGUUCCGAAUGCAAAGCGAAGCAAAGCAAAGUAAAGGAAAGAAAGGAUGAACCGUUGGGAGACGAGUGAAAAGUAAAAGUGAAUGGGAGAGAGUAGGAGCGUGUCCAGACUAGGCAAGCACUUUAAAUAGCGAGACCUUAAAAACGUAUACACACAACAAGGGGGGUACGGUGUGUAAUAAACACAAAUGAAGUAUGGGCUAUGCAAUCAGCUAGGCAACACAAGACAAGCAAGGCGAGGGAAAGUGGCGAAAUCCCAAGAGAGCAAUAAGGAUGCGUAGCGAGGAAAAAAAGCGAGACAGCGAUGCGCACCGGUACCGAAAACCAAAGUCCGAAAAAUGGAUGUAAGAUUUACGAGGUUAAGAAUCGAAAGAGGACAAGGGAGAGAGACAGAGAGAGCACAAGGCAGUAGAGAGAGUAUGUGCGUGAGAGAGAGAAAAUCAGGUAAGGAUUGAUGUGGGAGGAUGGUGAGCGAAAAAAAAAAGCAAACCACCGAGAAAUGGGUCUAGAAAAGAAACCGUUGCAAAGGAAAGAAAAGGAAAUCGAAUGAAAUCGAUUGAAUGAAUAGGAAACUUGGCUGGACUUUUUAAAUAGUUAGCCGAGUGUUGCUAAAAGCGGUGAAUGAUGUGAAAGUGAGAAAGCGAAUAAAAGAAUAAAAAAGAAAAGGAUGAAGAAAAGUGCAAGACUUUUCUUGGGGGGUUUGUUGAUAAGGCAGUGUGUGAUGGAAUGGAAAGAGAGGGAGAAAAGUGCUUUGUUUGAAAGAUAAGUAAACGAAGCAACAAACAAAACAAACUAAACUAACCGAACCGAGCAAAAGAAAAAAAAAAUUACACAACAACCACAAAAAGUAAAGACACUAGGAGAGAGUAGCAAAAGCUUACAAAAACAAGUGGUUGAAAAAAGGAAGAAGACAAGAGUAAAUUAGAAUAUACUGGAUAGGCAAAAAAAAAAGAAAAACUCCCUAAAAAAAACACACAAGGGGUAUUAAACGAAGUUUGUAUGUAUGUAGUGAAACAAAAAAAAAAAAGGAAGAAAACCGAGAAAAGCGGCGUUAACGGUGUUACGGAAUUAACGGGGCGUUUGACGGUAAUGAAAGUAAGUAGUAAUAGUAGUACCAGUAAUAG